UACGUAGGGUGCGAGCGUUAAUCGGAAUUACUGGGCGUAAAGCGUGCGCAGGCGGUUUUGUAAGCCAGAUGUGAAAUCCCCGGGCUCAACCUGGGAAUGGCAUUUGGGACUGCAAGGCUGGAGUGUGGCAGAGGGGGGUGGAAUUCCGCGUGUAGCAGUGAAAUGCGUAGAGAUGCGGAGGAACACCGAUGGCGAAGGCAGCCCCCUGGGCUAACACUGACGCUCAGGCACGAAAGCGUGGGGAGCAAACAGG
rnacentral:rRNA from 1 species